rnacentral:pre_miRNA from 1 species
AUAUAAAUCAGCCAGGGAUCUUGUUAAAAUAUAGAUUCUGUUUCAGUAGGUCUAGAGCAGUGUAUCAGAAAGUAUAGAAUAGUGCCCAAGAUUCUAACAUUUCUAUCAAGUCCCAGGUGAUGCCCAU